CUCAAGCUCAUAUGUGGCCUAUGGCCAUGCCCGAAGUCGUUACCUUAAUCGCAAGGAGGGGGAUGCCGAAGGCAGGGCUAGUGACUGGAGUGAAGUCGUAACAAGAUAGCCGUACUGAAAGGUGCGGCUG
rfam:Nicotiana attenuata strain TT chromosome 1, whole genome shotgun sequence.